UCUUAGUAAAUCAAACUUUAGUACUCGUACUAAAUUUAUUAAAAAAAAACAAAAAAACCUUUAGGAAGUAAAUAAAUUCGGAUCCCCCACCUAACUAACCCUAACUAUUCUUCAUUUCUCUUAGAUCAGUCGCCCCAUUCUCUUCUUUUCUUCUUUUUCUUCCAUUGAAGCCUCCCUACAUAAACACUACAUUUAUUAUCUUUUUCCUCCAUUGAGGCCUCCUCUUUCUUAGCUUUCUAUUCAAGCGCGCAGAUGUUGAGCAUUCUUUUAUCGAUCUAUUAAGGGAGCAUGCAAUUAACGGUACAAAUCAAUAUUCAACAAUUGAAUUUAAAGAAUCUAACAACAUGAUGGAAGUAUAUCAAUUUUUGUAUGGAGAAAAUCGUCAUUUGUUUAGUGGUUUUAGAUAAUUAGUUAUUGUAAAAGUUUUUUAUUAUGUAUGUAAUUUUAUAUGGCAAUAAUAUUAAGUAUAAUUUUUUUUUUUGAGCUUGUAGUAUUAAUUAUGUGGGAUUUGUAACUGUAUUAAUCUACGAAAGGCAUGAAAUAGAAUUAUUGUAUAUGAUUGUUGUAUAGCUAUCAUAUUCAUAUAUACGAAGUAGUACAUAUUUGACAGUUA